rnacentral:lncRNA from 10 species
UCCACUGACUUACCCCCACCAGAUCCCCAUGGUUGGCAUCUGCAGGUAUCCUGUGGACAUUUUAGCUUAUGACUUCAAAUCAGGUCUCCUGCCUCUUCAAUCAGUGGCUUUGCUGUGAGACAUGAUGUCCCUGGCUGGCUGGGAACACCUUCACCUGUUACUCAGAAGAGCUCUGCACCAAGUCUGCAUUGCAGGCCAAGAGAAUCUAUCAGGUGCUCAAGAAAUUCAUUCAGAAGUCCAACAUGCAAAAAUUCAUUUAACUUCAAAAGCAUGAUUUUCCUUUCUGACAUAGCCUUUCUACUUUUAGAAACAUAUCUUAAGGAAAUAUGGUCCAAAGAAAAUGUGUAUAAUGAUGUUCAUCAGAAUGAAUUGAAUACCCCAAAAAAUGCAAACAAUUUAGACGUCUAGCAAUGUGGCACUAAGCACAUAAUUUAUAGCCAAUCAGAAACUAUAUUGCCAUUAAAAAUCAUAUCUAUGCUAUAAUCUGAUACAUGUUUAAUAACAUAUUAAUAGCACAUAUUUAACUGGGAAAAAAUUGCAGUAGAUCCAGUUUGCUUAGAUUCCUGAUUCCCCCACCUCAGGGGCCUUGGCUGCUUGCUCAAUGGGAGUCCCAGCUGCUGCCACCAUGACCUAGUUUCCUGCUGCCUCAGCCUCCCCAGGCAAAGGCUGGGCUCAGGCUCAGGCCCCACUGCUCCAUCAAUAAACCCAUAUAGGCCAUGGAACUGCCCACCACUCCCAGGCCCAGAUGAAGCCCUGGGCCAUGGGGUGGGAGCUGGUUUUACCAAUGGCUCCCUGUAGAGGGUGGCAACAAAGCACAGAAAUGCCAGGAAGCCGAUAUACCAUAGGGCAAAAUUUGACCAAUAAGAGGCAAAAGAUCAGAAAGAGGCUUGGAUAAGAAUCCCUCCCUCCCAGUCCCUAACCAACUGUCAAAAGACAGCCAGCUGAGUGUUCCUGCAAAGUUCUUGAAAGCUCAAUAAGGUACCACAUCAUAUUUGGUUUUUGUUUUUUCCUGCCUCCUUCCCUUUCCCCUCACCGUUGUUGCCCUGGGAUUGCACUUCCCAGUAAAGCCUUAGCAAAUAAGCUGGGUGUCUGGACUAAAACAAAAAUCUAAUAAAUAUUAUACAUGUAUAUAUAUACACACACAUGUGUAUGAGGGAGAGAGAGAAUUGGGGUCAUGGAUGAUUUUUAUUUCAUUUUACAUUUUAAAUUUUAAUAAAUUUUAAUAUUACAUUUAUAAUAUUUAAAGUUUAUCCUUAUGAGUGUCAUCCACUGCAAAUUUUAACCACCCCAACAGAGGUAGCCAACUGAGAGCUGGAGAGAACAGUCUUCAAAAUUGUCCUCACUUCUCACACCAAGUGCAAGUUUGAGGAGAUUCCCAAAACCACCCUCAGGUUUGAGAAUUCUCUAGAAGAACUCAUAGAACUCACUGAAAACUGUUACAUUCACGGUUAUCAUUUACUACAGAUAAAGGAUACAAAGUAAAAUCAGCCAAGGAAAGAGGAUCCUGAGCAGAGUGAAGGAAAAGUCCCUUCAAGUGUGGAAUUUCUGUUGUCCUCGCCCUGUGGACUUGUGGACAUGCACACUGUGUGAUGAAGAUAUACACAAAGUAUUGCCAGUUAGGGAUGCUGACCCAUGUCUCAGUGUCCAGAGUUCUUACUGGGACUCCAUCGUGUAGGCAUGAGUGGUUGUCCAUGUAGCUGUGAUCUCAGUCUCUAGCUCCCUGGAGGUCGACUGAUAACAUGUGGCUCAAAGCUCCCAGCCUACAUCACAUUGUACUCUCUGGCUUAGCCUGAGGCUCCCAGGUAAACAAAGACACUUGCAGCAGGCAUGGCAUUCCAAGGGCUUAGAGAUGACCUCCUGGAAGCUGAGGCCAGGCCUAUUUUGGGGCAUCAUUAAACUCUACACUACACAACCCUUUAAAAUUCCUCACUGGUCCUCCACUAUCUUCACAUCAAAGGCAAAUCUUUGCAGACCUCUCUAUGAUCUGGCCAUCUCUUUGGUCAUGUGCCUCCUUCCCUCAGCCCACACGUGUCCCUCUCUUUCCAUCAUGGGCAGUUGUAUGUUCAAGCUGUCUCUUGUUUCCAAGCCCUUGCACAGUCUAUUUCCUUUGCCUGGAAACCUGGCUAAUCCCAGCUCAGGCUUUGACACACUAAGGGUCUGCAUGCUAAGCCUGGGAUUCUUAGACCCAUAAGACUCUCUUCUUCCCAGUAGGCCAUUUCUCAGGCAGCAGCUCUCAUGAGGUGAUUUUUAAAAAAAUAUUGUUUAUUUGGGGAAAAUAAUACCAGAAAGCAAAACAGUGCUGGUGACGGAAGCAAAACAUCUAAGAAAGGAUGGUUCUUGGCUAGAAGGUGGAAGUGUGGGAUAGAUUAAAGAGGAAAAUGUUGGACAUGGCAGAGCUCCAUUUCUACACCUGUUAUGACUUUACUCUUUUUCUGGAAAAGCAAUUCAUGAGUUGAUUCAACAAGAAGUCCUACCACUGCAAAAAUUAUAGAUUGAGUUAAAGAACAAACUUUAGUGGUAUUUAAAAUAACAGUUAACUUAUGGUAUGUCAAUAUGCAGAGAAAACAUGUGAUGGUCGAUGGACUUCAAUAAUCUGUUUACUUAACAAAGUCUUCUUAAAACCCCUUGUUUUAGGUAUUUCCCCAAGCUCUUUAUAAAUCACUUUCCAAAUUACUUAUUACUCCUCUGAGCAAUUCUAUAAGGUUAGUUCUCUAAAUGUCCUCCAUUUCAUAUGAGGAAACUGACUCACAGAGAAUUUAAGUAACUUGCCCAGGGUCACACCGCCUGUAAGUAGGAAACCCAGAUGGACAUAUGCGUUCUGAUUCUACAGUAAUGUUAAAACCCUAGAUACGAACGCCAAGACACCAGGAAGUGAGAUUCAUUUGUUCACAGCUAUAUUCCCUGUUAUUAACAUAGUUUUUGAUCACUAAUAGAUAAUCAAAGGUUUGUUAAGAAGAUUAAACAUUUUUAAAUGUCCAUUUAUUAAUUAAUCACACUGAUGGUCUAAUAUGUGGAACAUUUAAUAGACAUUUGAAGAUAUUAAAUUAUUUGCCCAGGUAAAAGGAUUCCAUAAUUUUGAAAAUGUCUUGUGGAUGUGAGGGAAAGUAAAUGAGUUAGACUCAGGGAAGGGAUUCAUGCAAAGGAAAAGUCUGAGAGCCCACUCCUUCUAGCAAGUAAGUGCUGGCAGAUGGCUUUCCAGCGUGAAUAUAGCUAGGAUACAAUUAAAUAAAUUGCUUGUUGAAUUCUUGAGUAUACAGUCAGGUUGUUAAUCAAGGCCCAUAAAGCUUAGGUCAAGAGAAUCACAGAAUUUCAAAGAUGCAACUGACCUUAGAGGUCAUCACAUUUAAUUUUCUCAUUUUGCCUGCGAUUUUCACAAAAAGAAACCAAGACCUAGCAUAUCCAAGUGGCUGGCUCAUGACGCUCCCUUUACGUAGAAAUUGCCUCCCUCCCCUCCCCAGGGCAUCCUGGUCUAAUACAUCCUACAAGGCUCUUCUCAACUCUCGUCUACCACAUGUGGUCUUUCCUGUACCCACAAAACCAUGAGAAGCCAUCUUAUCUCCUUCUAUCUCCCAUAACACACAGUUUGUAGUGCUCUUUAAUUAGUUAUUUUCAACAGCUGAGUAUGUGUUUAAUUUCCCCAGAUAGGUGUAAGGCUAAACAAUUAUUUGUGGAGUGAAUGACUGCACACUCCAUGCUGUCUGGCACUGCAGCGCACACCUGGUUUCAUACUCAAUGACAUGCCAGCUCAGGCACUUGCCCAGGGAUGGGGCCCAGAGAAUGCUUUGUGUGCGAACUUUCACUUAUCUGGGAAGUAGGUCACUGUGGCUAACAUCCCAAGCUCUAGAACAGACUGCCUGGAUUCACUCCUUUUUUCCAUCAUUAACUAGCUGAGUUAUUUUUAGGCAUUUGCUGCAUUUCACUGUCCUCUUGGUCUGUAAAUGGGGAUAAUAACAGUCCCUACCUCAUAGGGCUUUCAUGAGGAUUAAGUGGAUGAUGUUAUUAUGUAAAGCACUUAGAACAGUAUUUAGCACAAUGCAAGUGUUCAAUAGAUGCUAGCAAAUAUAAUUAUUAAUUUCUUGUUGUGUCUAGAAUAAAGCCUGGCAUAUAGUACGUGUAUAAUACAUGGUACCUGCUAUUCAUUCCCUUGGCAUCUGGAAUCUGUCACUAACCUUCAGAAAAGAAAAUUUCAAAUUAUCAGAAGGACAAAGAAUUCAGAAUAGACUAAUGAAACUGUACCUCAGACAGUAGUCAAAUAACCAGGCAAGGGGUAGAAAGGCCCAUCUGCGCAGGAAGAAAUGUGUAUAACUACUACAGACUUUAAAAUUCCAUAAAGUUGCAUGAGCAAUUAAAACACAUUAGGGACCAAUUCCAUAUUUGCUCCCAGAAUGAAAUAGCAUAAUUGUGUCGCUACACUAAUAUCAUCAUUUCCAUUUAGCUGAAAGAGUUCUCAGGUCAUAAACACAAUGGUUUUUCAUUCUACCAUGGCCAACUGCUAUGAGCAUAACGGAGUCCUAAUGACCCAGCCAGCUUAAUCAAAGCAAGGAAUUUUCUUUCCAGAAGCUUCUGUCAUGUGAAUUGUAUGAUCUUAACUUAAAAUUAUGGCACUGCCCAAACACAAAGCAAUAUUCAUUCACCUUUAUGAAGCUCUUGGCUCUGAAGAUUUAAAACACUCUGAGCCAAGUACUUAGAAUUCAGGGAAACAAGAGUUUCAUCAGAGUUACAUCAUGGGGUGAUAAUACUUACGAAGAACUGAUCAUCUUUCCUGCCCUGUAACCACAUUUCACAGAUGACGAAGAAGGAUUUCACCUUCUGCCUUUGACAUCAGCAUCUUUUCUCACAUUAUAAAUAUUAGUCUCAGGCUCUUGUGGGCCCUGGUAAAAUGACAAGAUGCCCAAAUUUGUCAUGUUUCUUCCUCAUUUUUAUAUUUCCCAAAUUUUGGCAAAUGUCUAACCAACAGCCUUGCCAACAGCCAUGGGGUCAGUGAGACCUAAGAGAUGGCCACAUCCUCUACUUCUUCCUUACAUCAGGCUCUGAUAUAACAGCUAAAUAUGUGACUUUGGGAAGGUCUUGAAGUCCAAGUUUACAAUUCUGCUUGGCAUGUGAGCAGCACUUGCUGUUGAAAGACAGAAAGAGAAGUGCUUGUCAGAAAUAACUUCUUUAACAGGACAUUUCUUGAAAAGAAAUAAGACCAUUUAAUCCCAUUGUUAAGCUAUACUAUAAGGGUCACUGCCUUCUUCUCAGGUAGGAAAAUUUCAUUACAAGAGACAUUCUUGAUGUAUGUCGGUCUGAAUUUUAUUUGAAGAUAAUUCUGCACUUGUAGAAAAUCUCUUUCUUCUUCCUUGAAGAAAAAGCAGCCCUGCUGUACUCUGCCACUCUUGCUAAACAGGAGGGAUGUCACGAAUUGCUUUGGAGUUUGACAGGAACCUGAACUUCCAUAUGACCCAGCAAUCCCAUUUCCAGGUGUUUGCCCUGGUUGACCAUACAGGUCCAGGGCAGACAGAAGUGUCUGAGGUCCUGAAGGGAAAGACCGACACCCUGUUGGAGCCAUACUCUGGGGAUGCAGAAACCUUUCCUCUUACUCCCAUCAGCCCAUAGAGGGCAGGGGUCCUGGUGUCUGCCCUUGCAAAAGGAGCAAGGAGAUGCUGAUGGCUGAGAUGGUAACCUUGAGAAGAUAGGGAUGUGCCUUGUAGCACCAAGGCUGGCAUGGCCAGUCAGCACCAUCCAAAAUCCCAUGAACUUGUCCACUGUUUCUAAGGCCUGGCCAGCUGUAGACAGUGACAGCCCUGUGGUGAGCCCAGCAUGGGCUCUUACUGGAGGCUCAGGAAGUUGGCAGAAUGAACAUAUUAAAGACUGGAGGCAGAAGAUGUCAAAAGAUGGUAGGCAGAAGACCACCCAAGAAGCUAGCUCCCAACCGAAUCUAGACCAACACAAGAGUAGCUUCAAGGGCUAUUAAAUGGCCAUCCCAGAUCAACCAGCUCCUCACCUCUUCCUGAGGCCAAACGAACCACAGGCACAGCUUCUGAGAGAGUGCAAGAUGAGGAGGAACUCACCAGAGUUCUUGCACCUGGUCGCAGUCACGUUCUUCUCUGAUUGUGCUCAACAGGAACAUCUGUCUCCCCCUUGGUGCUGCCUCUUCCUUUGAGAUAAGUGCUGUGAUUGUGUUUUAUUUCUGUUUUUAUUUUUUUUGAGAAGGAGUUUCACUCUUGUCACCCAGGCUGAAAUGCAGAGGUGCGAUCUCGGCUCACUGCAACCUCCGCUUCCCGGGUUCAAACGAUUCUCCUGUCUCAGCCUCCCGAGUAGCUGGGACUACAGGUGUGCACCACCACACCCGGCUAAUUUUUGUAUUGUUAGUAGAGAUGGGGUUUCACCAUGUUGGCCAGGUUGGUCUCGAACUCCUGACCUCAGGUGAUCCGCCUGCCUCAGCCUCCCAGAGUGCUUGGGAUUACAGGUGUGAGCCACCACGCCUGGCCUGUGAUUGUGUUUUAAACGCAGGCACACUGUAGAUGCAGAGUAUCUUCCCUCAUAAACACUGAUAGACAUGCACAGGACGAUACAAUGCAUAUUCUAGGCUCCUAUGGCCUGGGUCCUACUGGGGGUAUUUUCCCCAUAUUUCUGAAAUAGAGUCAUUUUUCCUUUAGGGACGUACAGCUCAGUGCAUCUGUCACUGCUGGGUUUAGGUCAUAAUCCCAAAUAACUGUGCAGCAUAGCUUGCAAAGUACCAACUUCUCAGCAUUUUGAUGUUGAGGGUGUACUAAAGUGAAAAUAAUGGAAUUGAAAAGCUGUAGCUUUAACUGUAAUCAGCCGAAUCCACCUCCCUUCUCCAGACACCCACCGGUGUGAAACCUCCAGUGCAACACUUUACACCAAACUCAGCAAGCCCCACGAAGCUCACUGGGGAGCCAGAGGAAAAUGGAUCGACUCCCACUAUGAAUAUGAUCAAAAAAAUCUGAGCAGAAAAUACAAACAAUGCUUUGUUUCCAUACAAAACUUAGCCCCUGGGGAAAUUACACUUAGAUGAUUUAUGGAAUGUGGGUCUUUAGCUGUAUUACACUUUGCAGUGCCGACAAAGACAACAAUAAUGUAUAAUUGAUUCCACUUGGAUCUCAGAGAGUCAAUAAAGGACUUUGUUUAUCCAUAAUUUUGUUGGGCAAAUCUCCCAGAUGGUACUGAAAUGUUGCAUUUUUAAGAUGUUGAGUUUGGUCCAGGAGGAUCAUAAAUUAUAAAGAUAAUGUGUCUUUCGUAUCGUUACAGUCAUCUAAUCGUAAUCACAAUUAUAGUCACUGUGAAAUCUAACUACAUUCUAUUUUAGUAUUACUGUCGACAUUUUUAAAGCUUCAUUUAUUUAAGAGGCAGAAGUCAACAUACGGGCUUCCGUAAUCCCAAAGCUCCAUUUGCUAAUGCAAGGUCAAAUUUAUAAAUUAAAACCUUUCAUGAAAAUAAAAAUGUUAUAUUCUUAUAAUAGGAAUCAGCAGUACAAAUAUACACUCUUCAGUAGGUUUUAGGUUCACUUUCUCACUCCAUAGUAAGAGGCUUUAGCUACUACAUUCGUAGGAAACUAACAUUUUAUCUCUGCAACAAUUUUCUACUUUCCAAAACAUGUAAUUUGUGCUUUCAUUAAAGAUAAAAUUGUUUCUCUCUCUUAUUGUUGCAUCACACAAAAAUAUUUAAAUAGAGAAUCACAAAAUUGGGAAGGGCAGGUUUGGAAUGGCAUGACUUAAAUAUAAGAUUCUGGCUUAUGAGAUGCCUCUGGAGGGCCCUGGUGGGUGCAGCUCCCCGGGCCAGGCAGGCCUGCCAGUGCCACUGAGACGGGUGCACCAGCAUGGCCCACGUGAUUCCCUCCCGAGGGAGCGACAGGACCUGCAUAUUAAGACACUGUGGACAGAGAAAGCAAACAGUACUUUCAAAAACAAGCCCCUGAGUGGAAAAUUACCCUGGCAGAAGUUCCAGAUUGCAGGCAUUGGCUUAUAAUUGAGCUGCUUCUCCUGAAGACAACCCCCUCUCACCUGUUCCAGGUGAGAGGCCUCAGGGAUUUAGGUAUCAAAGAAUGGUUAAUGAUUCUCUCAAGUAAUGGCAGGAAGCCCAGCUGGCUUCUGAACAGAGGGGAAGAGACGGGGGCAAGGGAAGGACAUAGAAGAGACUAGGGCAGCAGUUCCGAAACUCUAGAUGCCUCCGAAUCACCUGCAGGGUUUGUUGAUACCAAAUUGCAGGGCUAC